rnacentral:rRNA from 1 species
UUGAAAAAGCUCGUAGUUGGAUUUCUGCGCGGGUGGGGCGCCUCCCGGCCUCAAGGUUUGGGUUGUGCAGCAACUCCCGCGCAUCCUGCCACGAACCGCGCUACCAUUAGCUUGGUGGCGCCCGGGGACUGGCUCGUUUACUUUGAGAAAAAUAGAGUGUUCAAAGCAGGCCUGAUGCCUUGAAUAAUGUAGCAUGGAAUAAUGAUAAAGGACUUUGGUUCUAUUUUGUUGGUGUUCGGGACCGAAGUAAUGAUUGAUAGGGACAGUUGGGGGCGUCUGUAUUCUGAAGCGAGAGGUGAAAUUCUUAGACCUUCGGAAGACAAACAGCUGCGAAA